CGCUUUUGUAGGAAUUGUUCAGAUGAAUACAAAAACGAAAUGGAGUCAGUAGGGGUUGCUUGGUGACAAAAUUUUAUAUGCCGUUUAUUUGUGCUACUCUCCCAUUUGUGCCUCAUACAUUUCAUAGCCAUAGACGCCCUCUUGCUAGGUGUUCAUUUAUAAUCUAAAAAUACAUAAGAAAUCCUCUUUGUAGGUGAUUCUAUUCACCAUUACAGCUGUAAUAACCCCUUUUAUCUACUUGAGCCGGGUGGACAGUGGUCUUGAACUGACUUGCUAGGGCUUGCAUUAAAGUAACAUUAAUGCUCGCCUUUUCAAUGCUUUCUAGGUGGUAUGAGGUUGAGAUGAGAGCCACGCCGCAGGUAUUUACAGAGCACACUUAGAGUAGCCUGAUAAUGCACUCUAUAGCCUGAAGAUGACCAACCGAAAGGGCUCUCAAAAUGGUUGAACCCCCUGGCCUCAGAACCUCUGUGCUCUAUUAUCAGAGCUGUAGGUCCCUGCAUGCACCGUGCCCAGGGUGAGUCUGAUGUAAGUAGGCAGAUACACCACCCCCCAAAUCUUCACAAGUCACUGAACACUGCGAUCUAAUCAUUUCUGACACUAGAAUAAGAGGCUGGGCGGCUGCCUGUAGGAGGACUCUCUAAUGGCAACACACACACAGGGGUUAAAUCAGAAACCAAGUUCAAAUCUCUGGAACAGCUUCAACAGAACCAGUGGAGGUACAUUCGGUGUCACAGGCACAUGUUUUGGAGAAACACCAGCAAUUGUACAUCCGAAGGCUCCAGGUACAGCAGUGGAUAUGUGCCGUACGUGCCGUCCAUUCAGAGCAGCAGACUGUGUUGCUGAAACGAGGGUUAUGUGAUGCCCGCAGAGCCGUCUGGUCUGACCCCUCAUCAGAGCUGGAAGCAGGGUGAACACAUUGCCUGCAUGAACCGUGCACAGCCAAAACAAGAUGCUGAGGCUUCAGAAAGUUUGUGCAACACAACAUUUGGGAAACAGAGGAUUUUUUUUUUUUUUUGUUUAGUAGUGGGGGAAAUAUGAUAAUAUGUAAUCCCAUAACUUCCAUAAACUCUUACCAUACUAGUGCAAAGAAAACAUCCAAAAUACAUAAUUUAUCUGUAGGUUUCAAUCUGCAUACCAGACGAAACCGGUUUCUCGAAAUUAGUUUUUUUUUUCAUCUUGCCAGAAAUCUCCACCAAAUAAAUGCACAAAGAAAUGUAUGCAAAUUUGUGCAUAUGUAAUUAUAUAAUGACUCACUGGAAUAUUUAAAUUUUAGAAAACUUGUAAUACAAAACAACUUAAUGUACUGUGAUUAACCAGCUGAGGAAGUAUGGUGCUAUCUAGAGGUUAGUAUUUUUACGCUAUUCACAAGUGGUGUCUCAC
ensembl:lncRNA